GCAUAUCAAUAAGCGGAGGAAAAGAAACCAACAGGGAUUGCCUCAGUAACGGCGAGUGAAGCGGCAACAGCUCAAAUUUGAAAUCUGGCUCCUUCGGGGCCCGAGUUGUAAUUUGCAGAGGAUGCGUCGGGUACGGGUGCCUUCCGAGUUCCCUGGAACGGGACGCCAUAGAGGGUGAGAGCCCCGUCUGGUAGGAUACCCAGCCCGUGUGACGCUCCCUCGACGAGUCGAGUAGUUUGGGAAUGCUGCUCUAACGGGAGGUAUACUCCUUCCAAGGCUAAAUACCGGCUGGAGACCGAUAGCGCACAAGUAGAGUGAUCGAAAGAUGAAAAGCACUUUGAAAAGAGAGUCAAACAGCACGUGAAAUUGUUAAAAGGGAAGCGCUCGCUACCAGACUUGGGUUCGGCGGUUCAACCGGGGCCACGCCCCGGGGCAUUCCGCCGGCCCAGGCCAGCAUCAGCUUUCCGUCGGGGGUAAAGGCGUCGGGAAUGUGGCUCCCCUUCGGGGGAGUGUUAUAGCCCGUCGUGUCAUACCCUUCGGGGGGCUGAGGUACGCGCUUCUGCAAGGAUGCUGGCGUAAUGGUAGCUAGUGACCCGUCUUGAAACACGGACCAAGGAGUCAACCUUAUGUGCGAGUGCCCGGGCGUAAAACCCCAGCGCGGAAUGAAAGUGAACGUAGGUGAGAGCUUCGGCGCAUCACCGACCGAUCCUGAUGUCCUCGGACGGAUUUGAGUGAGAGCAUAUAGGGUUGGACCCGAAAGAAGAUGAACUAUGCGUGUGUAGGGUGAAGCCAGAGGAAACUCUGGUGGAGGCUCGCAGCGGUUCUGACGUGCAAAUCGAUCGUCAAACAUGCGCAUGGGGGCGAAAGACUAAUCGAAUCUUCUGGUAGCUGGUUUC
rnacentral:rRNA from 1 species